rnacentral:rRNA from 1 species
AUUGAACGCUGGCGGCAGGCUUAACACAUGCAAGUCGAGCGGAGAUGAGGUGCUUGCACCUUAUCUUAGCGGCGGACGGGUGAGUAAUGCUUAGGAAUCUGCCUAUUAGUGGGGGACAACAUUCCGAAAGGAAUGCUAAUACCGCAUACGUCCUACGGGAGAAAGCAGGGGAUCUUCGGACCUUGCGCUAAUAGAUGAGCCUAAGUCGGAUUAGCUAGUUGGUGGGGUAAAGGCCUACCAAGGCGACGAUCUGUAGUGGGUCUGAGAGGAUGAUCCGCCACACUGAGACUGAGACACGGCCCAGACUCCUACGGGAGGCAGCAGUGGGGAAUAUUGGACAAUGGGGGGAACCCUGAUCCAGCCAUGCCGCGUGUGUGAAGAAGGCCUUAUGGUUGUAAAGCACUUUAAGCGAGGAGGAGGCUACUGAGACUAGUACUCUUGGAUAGUGGACGUUACUCGCAGAAUAAGCACCGGCUAACUCUGUGCCAGCCGCCGCCGUAAUAC